rnacentral:rRNA from 1 species
GAUGAACGCUGGCGGCGUGCUUAACACAUGCAAGUCGAACGGGAAUUACUUUAUUGAAACUUCGGUCGAUUUAAUUUAAUUCUAGUGGCGGACGGGUGAGUAACGCGUGGGUAACCUGCCUUAUACAGGGGGAUAACAGUCAGAAAUGGCUGCUAAUACCGCAUAAGCGCACAGAGCUGCAUGGCUCAGUGUGAAAAACUCCGGUGGUAUAAGAUGGACCCGCGUUGGGUUAGCUGGUUGGUGGGGUAACGGCCCACCAAGGCGACGAUCCAUAGCCGGCCUGAGAGGGUGAACGGCCACAUUGGGACUGAGACACGGCCCAGACUCCUACGGGAGGCAGCAGUGGGGAAUAUUGCACAAUGGGGGAAACCCUGAUGCAGCGACGCCGCGUGAAGGAAGAAGUAUCUCGGUAUGUAAACUUCUAUCAGCAGGGAAGAUAGUGACGGUACCUGACUAAGAAGCCCCGGCUAACUACGUGCCAGCCGCCGCCGUAACAC